rnacentral:rRNA from 1 species
ACCCGCUGAACUUAAGCAUAUCAAUAAGCGGAGGAAAAGAAACCAACAGGGAUUGCCUCAGUAACGGCGAGUGAAGCGGCAACAGCUCAAAUUUGAAAUCUGGUCCUCGGGCCCGAGUUGUAAUUUGCAGAGGAUGCUUUUGGCGACGUGCCUACCGAGUUCCCUGGAACGGGACGCCACAGAGGGUGAGAGCCCCGUACGGUAGUGUCACCGAGCCUCUGUAAAGCUCCUUCGACGAGUCGAGUAGUUUGGGAAUGCUGCUCUAAAUGGGAGGUGUAUGUCUUCUAAAGCUAAAUACCGGCCAGAGACCGAUAGCGCACAAGUAGAGUGAUCGAAAGAUGAAAAGUACUCUGAAGAGAGAGUUAAACAGCACGUGAAAUUGUUGAAGGGGAAGCGUUUAUGACCAGACUUGGGGUCGGCCGAUCAACCAGCGUUCUCGCUGGUGCACUCGGCAGGCUCUAGGCCAGCAUCGGUUCGCGCCGGGGGAUAAAGGCUUCGGGAACGUAGCUCCUUCGGGAGUGUUAUAGCCCGUUGUGUAAUACCCUGGGGCGGACUGAGGAACGCGCUUCGGCACGGAUGCUGGCGUAAUGGUCAC